AAUUUGGCAUGUCAUAUCAGAGUUGUACUGUCUAUCGUUAUUAUUCAAACUAUUCCCUUAGGUUUAAAUAUUGUGUGUGACAUGUAUAUAAUAUAGACUAACAUACAGGAAACCUAAUUCUGUACUUGCACAACUGAAUUAUACAAACACACUUAUAGCCUUGUACACAGAGGGCGCUUUAGGAUAAAUAUAAUUCUCUUUGUUUAUUACUUCUAUACGUAUGCGAAUCGCCGAUUUGUACAAAUCAGAUAUGUUCUUAUAAUUUCAGGUAAGCAGGUUCUCUAAAUGCGACACAUGCAUACUGAUUAAAACAAAAGCUGGAAUCAACAACAGAUAAGUCUGCGAGAGAAGAAUUGAAGCAGCGCCGACAUGCACAUUUGAUCAAACAGUCGGAACAGAGGAGGAAGUACUACAAGCAUCGAAGCAAGGCAAAAAACAACCCUCAUAAAUACCUUAGUAUAAUUAUUGAUGGUAUGGACCAAAACAAGACAUGUCUCCCGCAUAUGGUAUCCGAGUCAAAGUCCAUAAACCAAAUGUGGAAAUUGAAAGUACAUUUAACCGGGGUAGUAGUGCAUGGUGUCGCCACCUAUGGCUUUUUUGAUUACAACCAAGUAAAGCAUGACAGUAACUUAACAAUCACUGUACUUAUGAAGAUUCUGCUGCUGAUGCCAAAACUUCCAGGCACUCUGUAUCUCCAGAUGGAUAACUGUGGGCGAGAAAACAAGAAUAGGUAUGUUCUUUGAGCAAGAUCUGUUACAA